GGGAAGAAGACUAGCUCUGGCUUUCAAGCGUGAACCAGGUCUGGGAAUCGGCAAGAGGUCUUGGAUUAGGCAUUAGCGGUCAAAGCAUUGAUUCUAAGCCAGCCCAGAUACGAGUGAGCGAAGCAAGCCUACGCCUACGAGUUUCCAUUGACGAAGCGAGAGUAGAUGCGACAGAAGGAAGUUAUGCCACCAAUCCCUAAUCGACAGACUCCAAUUCUCAUACGAAAUCCGAAAGGGAGGGGCACAGAAGUACACCUACGCACUGGUACGUAAUAAAAAUAAAUAAAGCAAAGAUGCGGCCUAAGCGGAGUGAGUCUUAAUCAAAUGAAAUGGACAAAGCAGAAAGGAUUCUCUCCAAAAGCAUAAAGCAAGCAGAAGGAAGAUCUUCGGAUAAGCAUGAAAUGCCAAAUCGGCGGCAGGAAAAGAAGAAAUGUUUUGAUCUUCUUGCCGACGUUCUAAGUUUCGUGUGCCGCUAAAUUAAGC
rnacentral:lncRNA from 1 species